rnacentral:tRNA from 1 species
UCCCAUAUGGUCUAGUGGCUAGGAUAUCUGGCUUUCACCCAGAA